AGUUUUUCCCUUACAUCUACCGGGUGUGGGAACUCACCCAGCGCAUCCGACUGCACGGACAAUGCUGAGGAGACCCCCCUGACUCAAAGGAAAUAGACUGCAGCACUGAUUGGAUGACUUUGGAAUGAAAAAAAGUAGUUUUCCUUUACAAUGAGGCUUGGCCCCCAGGGCGAUGGUGCCACAAGCCAGAUCACUGGGACCACUCAGAGAAAGGGAACACAGAAGCCUGGCAUGCCAGCAAAAAGCAGGGUUUUUGUGAGCAGUGUCUUGCACCAAACUCCUGUCUCCUCCUGUGACUUAGAAUGCCUAACUUCCUGGGAAUGCAGCACAGGUCUCAGCCUCAUUUUGCCCAGCCCCUAUUCAAGACGGAUUUGCUGUGGUUCAAAUGCUUCUGACAAUAUUCCUCAUGGUGAAUGCUGGAUUUUGCAUGCCCGAGGCCCUGGGCCACACUGUAUGUUUGCUUUUUGCAAGGGCUGUAUGGCUAUGACUAGUUAUGUGGACCCUGCAUUCCUAUGUAAAUGACCCUCCAUAAAAACCCCAGAAAUGAAUGCUUGAGUGAACUUCCCUGGCUUGUAUUAUAAUACUGUGAACAUCUUGUCACACAUCUUUGCUGGGGGAAUUAAGUGUGUCCCUAUGUGACCGUAAUGGGAGAUAACACCCAGAGUUUUGUGCCUGCUUUCAUGUGGACUUCAUUCUAUGUGAUUUUUCCCUUUGGUGAUCCUGGUCUAUAUCCUUUUAUUGUAAUAAACUAUAACCAUAACAGCU